GUACGGCGGCUCAAUGAGUUUGUGUCACUGUGGUACCCGUUCGGUGGAGGAACCAGAUUGGAUGUUGGAAGUGAUGUCCGUCCCACCCUGACGGUGCUGCCCCCCUCCAGUGAGGAGCUGCUGCAGGGGAAGGCCACGCUCAUGUGCCUGGCCAACAAGGGCUUCCCCUCAGACUGGAGUCUGGCCUGGAAGGUGGACGGCAGCAGCAGCAGCAGCAGCAGCAGCUGGGAGGAGAGCAGGAGCCCCGGGGUGCUGGAGAAGGACGGCCGCUACAGCUGGAGCAGCACCCUGAGGCUCCCUGCAGACCAGUGGAGGAAGGUGGGCUCUGUGACCUGUGAGGCCACCCAGGGCUCCCAGGCUCUGGUCUCAGAGACACUGAGGAGAGACCAGUGUUCCCAGUCCUGACCUGACUCACUGGGACUCUGCUACUGGUUUUAUUCUGCUACUGCUCUCUCAACUCUGUAACUUUCUCUGUGUCUGUGUCUUUCUUUCCUUCUGUCACUCUCUAAUCACAUGUUUCAUGGUUAAAGUUUGUUUACUUGAUUUAAUUUGUAUUAUUUCUACACAAUAAAGACCAGUUCAUUCAAAUUUGUUGUUUUCAUUUCUGUUAUAGUGAAAGUAAGAGUUGGUAGAGGUCGUGCCCCAUGAACAAUGCUGACUCCUUACUGCAGCAGCCUGGGAUUGAAUCUCACCUGAUCAUCAUAGUUUCAGUAUCUGCAGUGUGAUUCUUCACAGAGUCAGUGAGCUGUAGCUGUCCUCAACAUAUCAUGGUGUUUCCCCCUCAGUGCUGAGAGCGUUGAUAUACAUAUUUACUUAUUUACAUGAAGAGGAUACUAAAAAGUCUGGUAAUAAACUGUUUCAGUGAUUUUGUUUUGUCAUUCCAAUGUGGAAAAUGAGUUUAAUAUGGUCUGCUGACAAUGAAUAGUGACGUUAUUUUAAUGCACAUUGACGACAGAUUUGGUUGUAUAUAAUAUCCAGAUUUUCUCAAAUAAAGAAAUGACAAGUCAAGAGCAGAGGCUGAAGCUGGUAUAUCAGGUAGCUCGCUGAAGAAACUACUAGGAAUUUUGGACAUGAGGGCAGAGCCAGAAAACAGCUUUUAUGGAAUAUUUAAACUUUGAAGUCAACAUGAACAUGAAGUCCUAACAAUGCUCAGAUGGAUAGAAAUUUGAAAAUCUAAAUUUAAUGACCACUGGGCGACUCCAUCUGCUGAGGAAGAUCAAGUGAUGUGAAUGAAAGCUCCACAAAAGU